UACGUAGGGUGCAAGCGUUGUCCGGAAUUAUUGGGCGUAAAGGGCGUGUAGGCGGCUUCGUAAGUCUUGUGUGAAAGCCCUCGGCUCAACCGAGGAAUUGCAUGAGAAACUGCGUGGCUCGAGUCCGGGAGAGGAUAGUGGAAUUCCCAGUGUAGCGGUGAAAUGCGUAGAGAUGUGGAGGAACACCAGUGGCGAAGGCGACUCUUUGGCCUGUAACUGACGCUGAGGCGCGAAAGCGUGGGGAGCAAACAGG
rnacentral:rRNA from 1 species